rnacentral:rRNA from 1 species
AUGUAUAAGUGGUUGGAAAAACCCCUUAGUGGAUGCAAUUUUAAGUGGAUCUGGAAAGCUAAGAUUCCUCUUAAGAUACAAAUUUUCUUGUGGCAACUUUCGCAAAAUGCUAUCUUAACCAGGCAGGUGAUGCGACAGCGCAAAUGGCCGGGGAACCCGGUGUGUUCUUUCUGUCAACAGGUUGAAACCUCCCAGCAUCUUUUCUUUGAAUGCCCAGUUGCCAGGGUAGUGUGGCGAUCCAUUGGAGUAACCCUUGGGACUGAUCUUUGUCCUAGAAACCAAUGGGAAUUCUUUACAUGGUGCUAUUCUUUUAUACCUGAUUAUGAGACCUUCUAUACUGUGGCCUUGGGUGCAGUCACCUGGUCUAUAUGGCUGGCACGCAAUAGUGCUACUUUUGAGAAAAAAAUGAUCAAUACCCCUUUUGAGAUUGUCUUUACGGUGGUCUCUUUCCUAUUAUAUUGGGCAGGUCUGCAAGACAUGGGCGACGCCAAGCUACUUCGUACGGGAGCGGAGAUGAUUCGCAAUGGGACUCUGAUGCUGAUGAGGACCUGUGAUGCGGCAGUCAAGAUUGGUGGCUCCAGCUGA